rnacentral:lncRNA from 1 species
CUUUCUCUAUUGCAUUAGUGAUGGUGGUAGGAGAGUCAAUGCAUGAGAUAAACUUACAGUAUAGGCUCAUCAAGGAAAGGAGAAGCUUGCCCAUAGAUGCACGAUCUUCAGUCUCCAGCUGUGCGUCUUUGUUUUCUAACCUGAAAUUCUCAAAAGGUGUUUUGGUAGGAUAAAAUGAGUGAUGAGGUGGAAUAGAAGCAAUAAGGAUAAGUAGAAAGGGGGCUUGCAGGACGAAACAAGAGUGGCCAUGGUAUAAAGUCCACUUUCACAUGGAUUAAGUAAAAGUCCAGACUUAAAGGUCAUGUUCACAUACCUGGACACAAACAACACUAUUAAAUCAAUUGUUAAACCUUAGCCACAGGUAUUGUUGUAGGGACAGACAAGGCAAGGCACCAAAGAUAGCAGGAAACAGUUUUAUUUGGCUGCAGCCAGGUUCAGAGGGCACAGCUUUUGCUGUUAAUCAAUCAAACCCCUGAACCCCGAGUUCAGGUAGUUUCAGAGUUUUAUACCCAGCAUGUAAGGGAAGGGGCUCAGAAGUUCACAGCAUACAGAAGUUUACAUAAAAGCAGUUUUUUCUUUCACUGUUCUGGGCAAGUUAAACCUUCAAGGACAUCACCUGAGAAGGGGAGAGCUUCUUCUCCCCUUUUUUUUCCUCCCCCUGCUAGCUGUACCAUGGAGCCCAAUUGGUAACUUUUCUUAUCUUAGAAAUGUAGACAUCUCUGUGAAGCCCCAGCUCAAGGCCAGAGGUUAACAUGUCUCGUUCUCCAAACUACUAUACUGGAUACAAGUUUGUGAAAAACUGGUAAGGGGGUGUUCACACCUGGAGUGCUGAUUUCUUCCCAGCCAGUGGCCAAGUAAAUCAGGGCAACACAAAAAUAGGAAGUUUAUCUACGUUGAACUCAUUUGCAGAGACUCUUUUGCUGACGGUCCCAAAAUCAACCAUGGUGAAGAGAGGAGGCCCUAAGCAACUUAGAUGCCUCAAAAAAUAAAGAACACUAGGGAUGUAGCUCAGUGGUAAAGUGCCCCUGGGUUCAAUCCCUGGUACCAAAAACAAAGAAAGAAAGAUAACCUCAUGCCAGUAAUGGUUAACAUGUCUGGUUACCAAGCAGAAUUAAAAAUACCUUCUUAGAUCACAUCUCUGUACUAUAGAUUUAUAUGUAUAAAUAUGCCUAGCAAAGAUGUAGCAAAUGCAUUCCUCUUCAACGCCCUUACUCUACCCUGUCUCUCAAAUUGUGUACUUCAUGUCAUCACAGAAAGGAAUGGGUCAGAAUGGGUCAAAGUGAGGCACAGAUCUCCCUUUGACCCAUUCUGACCUACCUUCCAUCCUGCCAUGAGGAGAGCAGCUUUCCUCUACUGUUGCACUUGGGCCAUGGUGUUCUGCCUUAUCUGGCCUAAAGCAAUGAAAUCAGCCAACCAUGGGCUGAACCUCUGAAACUGUGAGCCCAAAAUAAAUUCUUCUUCUUCCAAAUUGGUCUUUUGGGGUAUUUUGAUCACAGCAAUAUAAAGCUGACAGUGUGUGUGUGUGUGUGUGUGU